rnacentral:rRNA from 1 species
AUGUCGAGCAAAACACGAGAGCAAGAGCAUCACAGAGCCACAGCCGCCGAGAAACCCAGAACCCAGGGCAGAAGAUCUUCUUCCUCUCUUUUCUCGCAUAUUGCCCGUACCGUACCGACCAAGAUCAGCGAGGAGCCAAAGGAAUCAGCAGCAAAACCGAGGAACAUCGGCCAUGGGGGGGGGAGCAAGAGGUACUCUACCUGCUCUAGCCAUGGCUUCUCGAUGCCGCUGUUCACCUUCUUCUCCUUGUGCCUUCAUCUGUCCAUCGCCGCCGCCGCCAGCAGCCCGCCCCUUCCUCUAAACAGCACGCAGGAGUCCAUCAUGAGGGAUCUCUCGCGUUAUGUGGGCUCGGCCGGGUGGAACACAACCGUCUCCAAUCCAUGCCUAUGGAGAGGAAUCGGUUGCUCUCCUUCUGACUCCACUUCCUUCUCGGUGGUGACCGACAUCGAUUUGUCCGUCUGCUCCAUGUCCAACCCCACGCUCUUUGCGUCCUUAUGCUCCCUCGACACCUUACAGUCCCUCGACCUCUCCAAGAAUUACUUCUCCGAUUUGACGGGCCAUUUCUCUCGUUGCCCCAUGAGCGCCGGGUUGCGGGUGCUUAAUUUCAGCAGCAACCGCCUGGCCGGGCGUUUAGGCGAUCUCUCCGGCUUCUCUCGGCUCGAGGUUCUUGAUCUAUCCUUUAAUUCCUUCACUGGAACCGUGACCACCCAGUUGAGUGUUAUGCCUAGGUUGAGGAGCCUAAACCUCAACUCCAAUCAUUUGGUGGGUGUUGUCCCUGUAAGCAUGGCUAGCUCUUUGGAGGAGUUGGUGUUGUCUGGUAGUUUUUUCAGUGAUUCCAUCCCAAGUAUUCUGUUCAGUCAUUCAGACCUCACGCUGUUGGACCUUAGUCAGAACAAUCUCACUGAAAUUGUCCAGGAUGAGUUCUGGAAGCUGCCCAAGCUCAGGACCUUAAUCCUUUCUGGCAACAAGCCGACUGGAGCAAUACCGGCGAGCUUGUCGAAUGUCACGACGCUCACUCGGUUUGCGGCUAAUCAGAACAAUUUUACUGGUUCUAUCCCUAGUGGUAUUACAAAGCAUGUGAAGAUGUUGGAUCUGAGUUACAAUGGCCUGAGUGGGGAGAUCCCCUCUGAUCUCCUCGGUCCUGCAGGAUUGGAGAAUGUUGAUCUCUCCAGCAAUUACCUUCAAGGAACCAUUCCCAGGAACCUGUCUUCAAACCUCUACCGCUUGAGGCUUGGUGGUAACAAGCUCAAUGGGACCAUCCCGGACACUAUAGGUGAUGUCUUGGCCUUGGCUUAUCUUGAGUUGGAGAAUAAUCACUUGAUGGGAAACAUAUCUUCAGAGCUUGGAAAAUGCAGGAGCCUGUCCUUGUUGAAUCUGGCAUCCAAUAAUUUUCAGGGUCAGGUGCCUGAUGCAAUCAGCACCCUUGACAAGCUGAUAGUUCUGAAGCUUCAGAUGAACAAUCUCAGGGGAUCUAUCCCAAGUACGUUUUCUGAUUUAACAAGCCUGGACACGUUGAAUCUUAGUCUGAAUUCAUUCACUGGAGAGAUACCAACGGGGAUUUUCAACCUUCCAAAGCUUUUCAGCUUGAAUUUUCAAGGGAACAACAUCAGCGGUGCCAUUCCAGUUUCAGUCAGUACAUCGCAGUCCCUAAUUGAACUCAAUCUGGCAAAUAAUUCCCACACUGGCACCAUCCCAACAAUGCCGACCAGCUUGAGCAAAGCUCUCAAUCUUAGCCACAACCAUCUCACUGGAUCUAUUCCUUCAAACAUCGGUGUUCUGAAAGAUUUAGAGAUCCUCGACCUUUCGUACAACAACUUGUCUGGUCCGGUGCCAUCCUCACUUGACGGUCUGCAGAGCUUGACGCAGUUGGUGCUAUCUUAUAAUCAUCUUUCUGGGUCCCUUCCUGCAUUCCGUUCAAGCGUGACUGUCGAUAGCACCGGAAAUUCUGAUCUAACAGAUGGCGAGGAAAACAGUGAUGCAUCUCCUACUAGUGGUAAGACAGCACACAAAUUGAUGAUGCUAUUGUUGGCUCGCUUUUCGGAUUGUGCUUUGGCUGGUUUUGUUUGGUUGCAUAUCAUUAUGGUGAGACCGUGA